UUCCAGACUCCUACGGGAGGCAGCAGUGGGGAAUAUUGCACAAUGGGGGAAACCCUGAUGCAGCGACGCCGCGUGAGCGAUGAAGUAUUUCGGUAUGUAAAGCUCUCUCAGCAGGGAAGAAGAUGACGGUACCUGACUAAGAAGCCCCGGCUAACUACGUGCCAGCAGCCGCGGUAAUACGUAGGGGGCAAGCGUUAUCCGGAUUUACUGGGUGUAAAGGGAGCGUAGACGGCGAUGCAAGCCAGAUGUGAAAGCCCGGGGCUCAACCCCGGGACUGCAUUUGGAACUGUGUGGCUGGAGUGUCGGAGAGGCAGGCGGAAUUCCUAGUGUAGCGGUGAAAUGCGUAGAUAUUAGGAGGAACACCAGUGGCGAAGGCGGCCUGCUGGACGAUGACUGACGUUGAGGCUCGAAAGCGUGGGGAGCAAACAGGAUUAGAUACCCGAGUAC
rnacentral:rRNA from 1 species